rnacentral:misc_RNA from 1 species
GAUGAAGAACGUAGCGAAAUGCGAUAAGUAAUGUGAAUUGCAGAAUUCAGUGAAUCAUCGAAUCUUUGAACGCACAUUGCGCCCUCUGGUAUUCCGGGGGGCAUGCCUGUUCGAGCGUCAUUAUAACCACUCAAGCUCUCGCUUGGUAUUGGGGUUCGCGGUUUCGCGGCCCCUAACAUCAGUGGCGGUGCCUGUCGGCUCUACGCGUAGUAAUACUUCUCGCGAUUGAGUUCGAUAGGUCUACUUGCCAGUAACCCCCAAUUUUUACAGGUUGACCUCGGAUCAGGUAGGGAUACCCGCUGAACUUAAGCAUAUCAAUAAGCGGAGGA